rnacentral:rRNA from 1 species
AUUGAACGCUGGCGGCAUGCUUUACACAUGCAAGUCGAACGGCAGCACGGGCUUCGGCCUGGUGGCGAGUGGCGAACGGGUGAGUAAUAUAUCGGAACGUACCCAGCAGUGGGGGAUAACGUAGCGAAAGUUACGCUAAUACCGCAUACGAUCUAUGGAUGAAAGCAGGGGACCGCAAGGCCUUGUGCUCCUGGAGCGGCCGACAUCUGAUUAGCUAGUUGGUGAGGUAAAGGCUCACCAAGGCGACGAUCAGUAGCUGGUCUGAGAGGACGACCAGCCACACUGGAGCUGAGACACGGUCCAGACUCCUACGGGAGGCAGCAGUGGGGAAUGUUGGACAAUGGGGGCAAGCCUGAUCCAGCAAUGCCGCGUGAGUGAAGGAGGCCUUCGGGUUGUAAAGCUCUUUUGUCAGGGAAGAAACGGUAGAGGCUAAUAUCCUUUGCUAAUGACGGUACCUGAAGAAUAAGCACCGGCUAACUACGUG